rnacentral:rRNA from 1 species
AGUGAACGCUGGCGGUAGGCCUAACACAUGCAAGUCGAACGGCAGCACAGUAAGAGCUUGCUCUUACGGGUGGCGAGUGGCGGACGGGUGAGGAAUACAUCGGAAUCUACUUUUUCGUGGGGGAUAACGUAGGGAAACUUACGCUAAUACCGCAUACGACCUACGGGUGAAAGCAGGGGAUCUUCGGACCUUGCGCGAUUGAAUGAGCCGAUGUCGGAUUAGCUAGUUGGCGGGGUAAAGGCCCACCAAGGCGACGAUCCGUAGCUGGUCUGAGAGGAUGAUCAGCCACACUGGAACGGAGACACGGUCCAGACUCCUACGGGAGGCAGCAGUGGGGAGUAUUGGACAAUGGGCGCAAGCCUGAUCCAGCCAUACCGCGUGGGUGAAGAAGGCCUUCGGGUUGUAAAGCCCUUUUGUUGGGAAAGAAAAGCAGCAGGUUAAUACCCCGCUGUUCUGACGGUACCCAAAGAAUAAGCACCGGCUAACUUCGUG